rnacentral:rRNA from 1 species
GGUUACUGCUAUCGGUGUUCGCCUAAGCCAUGCGAGUCAUAUGUUCGUAAGAACAUGGCGUACUGCUCAGUAACACGUGGAUAACCUGCCCUUGGGUCCGGCAUAACCCCGGGAAACUGGGGAUAAUUCCGGAUAACGCUCAUAUGCUGGAAUGCUUUUUGCGUAAAAUGGAUUCGUCUGCCCAAGGAUGGGUCUGCGGCCUAUCAGGUAGUAGUGGGUGUAAUGUACCUACUAGCCUACGACGGGUACGGGUUGUGAGAGCAAGAGCCCGGAGAUGGAUUCUGAGACAUGAAUCCAGGCCCUACGGGGCGCAGCAGGCGCGAAAACUUUACAAUGCGGGAAACCGUGAUAAGGGGACACCGAGUGCCAGCAUCCUAUGCUGGCUGUCCGGGUGUGUAAAAUACACCUGUUAGCAAGGGCCGGGCAAGACCGGUGCCAGCCGCCGCGGUAACACCGGCGGCCCGAGUGGUGAUCGUGAUUAUUGGGUCUAAAGGAUCCGUAGCCGGUUUGGUCAGUCCUCCGGGAAAUCUGACAGCUCAACUGUUAGGCUAUCGGAGGAUACUGCCAGACUUGGAACCGGGAGAGGUAAGAGGUGCUACAGGGGUAGGAGUGAAAUCUUGUAAUCCCUGUGGGACCACCUGUGGCGAAGGCGUCUUACCAGAACGGGUUCGACGGUGAGGGACGAAAGCUGGGGGCACGAACCGGAUUAGAUACCCGGGUAGUCCCAGCCGUAAACGAUGCUCGCUAGGUGUCAGGCAUGGCGCGACCGUGUCUGGUGCCGCAGGGAAGCCGUGAAGCGAGCCACCUGGGAAGUACGGCCGCAAGGCUGAAACUUAA